GAAAUUUUCAAAAAACAACGAAAACGUAUUCUUGUAUCCUUAAGGACUAUAAAAAAAUAGUACUUAUUAUUAUAAUCCCGGGUAAGGCAUUUUGAGGGGGGCUCAGUUGUUUUAUUUUUGCUCUGUUUCAUGAUGAGAUGUUUUGAAAUCGAUGGAGACAAUUUUAUUCAUCACAACGCAACAGAAACUCAAGUAUCUCAUAUUAUUUCUAUUGGAGAAAGUGACGUUUUUAUCAUCAUCAAUCAAAGAACAGCACAAUCAAUAUGUCAAACUGUUAGAGUGGAAAAUUUUGUUUGUUCAGGACCUAAUUUUUUGCGGAAAGUAUUGUAAGAAAUAUAUUCAUUGGAAUACAGAUGCUGCAAUAAUUUCUAAUAUGUGUGUUAUUUUAGUUUAUUAAACUAUUGUAUCUCAACUUCUGUCACUACAAGAAUAUAUCUUUUAGUAUGAUCAAAUUUGAUCAAAUGUUAUAAUAAAUGUAUUUAGAAAUAUGCUUUACUAUGCUUUACACUGACUUACAGUUACGAUCGGUUAGAACCCAAUAAUUGCUCUUUGAAUUAUUCAUUUAAUUGACUUAGCCAAAACCUCUGCACAAACACUUAAGAUUUCUAGGUCUCAUUUUCAUUUUUCAUCAGUAUAAAGUAUAAAAUCAAUCUUAUUUUUAUUACAUAUAAAAUUUAAGAAUAUUAGAGUCAUUUUCUUCAAGUGAACUCAUUACAUUUUUAACAUCAAUCAUACAUACAACAAUUCAACUUAAAUCACGACAUCAAUCUACCUGAUCUAUCUACAUAAAUAAAUGGAUGGAAAAUUGUAAGUUUGUUUAAUCACACUUGUGAUCCACCAGUAACAAGAGUUUCCUUCGGUCGAAAGAUGGCUCUUUAUGCUGUCUAUCCAAUAAAAAAAGGCGAGCAGAUUUUUGACAACUAUGGCAUGCACUAUGCUCUUCAUCCGAAGAAUUAUCGUUUGUCUAGACUUUAUCAACAAUUCAGAUUUGUUUGUAAUUGUCGCUCUUGCAUUGAAGAUUGGCCGACAUUUCCAAAUGUUCCUAGUUUUUGGGUGCAAAGAUUAGCGAAUGUUAAUAAUGAAAAGUUGAAUUAUGCCAUGGUCAAGUUUUCAAAGUACUACGAGCUGGCGGUCAGAGCUGAAGUUGAAGAUAAUUCCGAAAUAGUUGAAGACUUAUUGAAUAUCGUAAAUGUUUUCUUUGAACGGGUCAGUUUGCCUUGCCGUGAACUUAAUGAGAUCAUUGAGACAUUAAAAAGAGUAUACAGUCUUUUAGCUAAUCGUUUUCAAUCUCUUGAUUAAGGUUAUGGUGUGACCAGUACGAAUUUCAGAAGAGAAAUCGAAAAAAAAGCUUCAUUUUCUAUACAUUGAGUGACAGAGUUGCUAACACAAAGUAGAGCUGAUAUAAAAGUAAAUCACAUCAUUCAAAUUCCCACACGGACAAAAAUAUACUGUCAUUAUGACAGUUUUUCUGGAAAUUUGAACACAAACGAUGCGAUGUAAUGUAAUGUAAACGAUGCAAAUAACUCAGAGCAAGCAAGACACCUCUCAAAAAUGUAAUGAUUCGUGAAAAAUUUUAUCAGAGUUUUAUGUUGAAAGAACAGAGAAAAUAGACAUUAUAACUAUAAUCAGUAUACUUUUAGAUUAAAUUAAAUUAAUCUUAAUUUUUAUUUUCAUUUCACGUUACAUUUAUUGUUAUAGUAAAUUUCUCGCCAAGGCUCGUUCCUACCCUUCCAAAUUCAUUGUGAGCGAGCUCUCUGAUU
rnacentral:misc_RNA from 1 species